rnacentral:rRNA from 1 species
CAGAGGAGCUUGCUCCCUGGGUGGCGAGUGGCGGACGGGUGAGGAAUACAUCGGAAUCUACUUUUUCGUGGGGGAUAACGUAGGGAAACUUACCCUAAUACCGCAAACUACCUACCGGUGAAAGCAGGGGACCUUCGGGCCUUGCUCGAUUGAAUGAGCCGAUGUCGGAUUACCUAGUUGGCGGGGUAAAGGCCCACCAAGGCGACGAUCCCUAGCUGGUCUGAGAGGAUGAUCAGCCACACUGGAACUGAGACACGGUCCAAACUCCUACGGGAGGCAGCAGUGGGGAAUAUUGGACAAUGGGCGCAAGCCUGAUCCAGCCAUACCGCGUGGGUGAAGAAGGCCUUCGGGUUGUAAAGCCCUUUUGUUGGGAAAGAAAUCCAGCUGGCUAAUACCCGGUUGGGAUGACGGUACCCAAAGAAUAAACACCGGCUAACUUCGUGCCAGCAGCCGCGGUAAUACAAAGGGUGCAAGCGUUACUCGGAAUUACUGGGCGUAAAGCGUGCGUAGGUGGUCGUUUAAGUCCGUUGUGAAAGCCCUGGGCUCACCCUGGGAACUGCACUGGAUACUGGGCGACUAAUAUUGUGGUAUAGGGUAGCGGAAUUCCUGGUGUACACUGAAAUGCGUAGAGAUCAGGAGGAACAUCCAUGGGAAAGCGCUCCCGGGACCCACAC